GAUGAUAUUUUCUUCUCUUCUUUUUGUGAGAAUCAAAUUGCUUUUUCUUGUCUUAUCAAUAGAUCUGAGCCUCAAUUUUACUUUUAAUUGCUUGUAUUUGAUUGUUAUUGUUAAAAGGGUGUCUAUGGUAUAUGAUGGAAAAUAUUUUUGUUGGUGAAAUUUUUAUUUGGUUACUAAUGUGUUUUCCUAUGAGAGGAAGAAAGUUGGGAACUUUUUAGGUGAGAACCAAGAAUUUUCCUGAAAAAAAAAAAAUUCAGCCCAGAAAGAGAAAUGAGGUUAAUAUCUCUGUUUGUGCUAAUGAUUUUCUGUAACUACUAAACAAACAGCUCUUGUUCAUGGAUUACUCAUAAACAGAAGCUAUGAACUAUAGACUCACUGUGUGUCUGUGUUGGAGACUUUUUAGCUGAAAGGCCUGUGUAAAUCUUGAUUUAAGAAACUGGUGUGUGUGUGUGUGUGUGGGGAGAAACAUUUUAGCUGAAAGGCUUGUGUAAGUCUUGAUUUAAGAAACGUACGCGUGUGUGUGUGUGUGUGUGGAGACUUUUUAGCUGAAAGGCUUGUGUAAUUCUUGAUUUAUGAAACUAGUGUGUGUAUGUCUGUAGAAUUUUUAGCUGAAAGUCCUGAGUAAGUCUUGAAUUGUGAAACUAGUGUGUGUGUUUCUUUUUUCCUGAUUUUGAGUAAUUUUGCAAAAGAAGCAGUGUGAUAUUGAGGCUUUCAUGAUGAUUUUUCAGAGAAAAUAGAAUUGGGUAUUACAGUUACAGGCUUGUAUGUUGGCAGAGAAACCUAAAUAUGUGUAAAAAAAUGGCAUAAAAAUUGGAUCCUUUUAUUUACCCGCACUCUUUUUGUUGCUGUUUUAUCUUAUGUUUCUCUUCUUGCUGCUAUUGUGCUGUUUUAUGAACCAAACAGCUAGAAAUCAUUGUAAAAAAUAGCAUAAAAUGCGGUAUAUGCAUUAAAAAUGGAUCUCUUCUUAUACCCAUAACCCAUGUUGUUUUUGUUGCUGCUGCAUCUUCUGUUUCUCUUCUUGUUGCUAUUGUGCUGUUUUUUGAACCAAACAGCAAGAAAUCACUGUGAAGAUAAAGCUUCUCUUGAGCAAUUUGGGUUAGGCAUUGAGAUGAUAAGAGCUGUAUCUUGGCGGGGUAACCCGAAGAGGUUGCAGCCAUGGCAGUUUCUGAUAAAACCCAAUGCCUAAAAAAGGGCAGCCUGGUGCACUAAGCUCCCGUUAUGCGCGGGCGGGGUCAGGGGAAGGGCCGACCACAAGGGUCAGUUGUACGCAGCCUUACCCUGCACUUCUGUAAGAGGCUGUUUCCACGGCUUGAACCGGUGACCUCCUGGUCUCAUGGCAUCAACUUUACCAGUUACGCAAGGCUCCCCUUCAAAAAAACCCAAUGCCUAAUUAAAUUGAAAUCUGAGCCUCAUUAUGUACACCAUGCGACAUAGGGAAAUUACAUAUAUUACCCCCAAACUUGUCCCGAAAAGUCAUUUAAAUACUUAACUUUACGAGAAAAAGCUCAAAAUUGUCCCUUAUCGAGACGGUGAUGAUCUUUCAAUCUAUCAUCCUUGGCUAGUCAUUGAGCAUAGCGAGUACCGACCCAUAUCUUGGCAGGGCAAUCACACGGAUGCUUGUAAUUUUAUUGCAUGCAACUCGGGUAUUUGCAGCCAUGGCGGGGCUGGACUUCCUUUGCCUAAGCAUAAAUACAGAUCUGAGCCUCAGUUCUCAUCCCAUAAUCUUACUUUUGGUGUACUUGACAUGGAGGAAACUCUUUCAGUCAACCAAGGCUGCUGGAUUCAGAGAGUUUUGGGGAGUUCUUUGAGUGGUUUCCCCUCUCUGGCAUUCUCAGCAGUCAAUGAUCGCUCAAAAUUUCCCCUUUUCACACGACUCUUUAGCAAGUAAGUUCAAAUGAGGCAGUGAAGAUUUUUAUUCUUUACUCAUCAGAUGGUUGAACUUUGCUAUGUCUUGGCGUGGCAGCUUAAGGCUUCUUAAGCUUGCAGCCAUGGCAGGGUUUGGCUUAUGUUUGAGAAAAGGCUAAUCUGAGCCUCCAGUGACUUCUCAUAUGAAAAUAAAGAGACUCAAACAGCCCUUUAAAUGGUGGGAUCUUUACCGAAAUAGCCGGCCAGAUUCACUAUUAACUUUUUCCAACCAUAUAGUCAAACUUCUCUGUAACAACCAUCCUCUCUAACAACACUUCACUGUAACGGCCAAGUUUUCUUUGGAACCAAUUUUUCAGUUUAUGUUAUAAUAUAUGUUCUGCUGUAGCAGCCAACAAAUGUCCGGAGCAAACGAGGCGGUUAAAAACUCAGAGAAAAGAGAGGAGGAAUUUUCAAAAGGUGGUUUCCUUCUCUGUAACUCCAGUGACUUCUCAAAAAAAAAAAAAAAAAAGAGUAAAGAACAAAACAGCCUUUUAAAUCUCAGGGAAAAAUUAUUCAUACCAUGUUGAAGGUUUUUGCCUCAAGUGGUCCUUUAUGUUAAGGAGUUGAGCUGUUAAGCAGAAGUUAGAGAAUUCUGAGGCUGUGAUGAUAUUGUCUUCUCUUCUUUCUUUGAGCAAAUUAAUGGGGCAAGAAAAUUAGAAGUGACCCGUAUCUUGGUGGGGCAAUCCGGAUGGCAAGUGAUCGUUCUGUCAUGCAACCGGUGUUUGCAGCCAUGGCGAUGUCUUGAUUCUCUUGUCUUAUCAACAGUUCUGAGUCUCUAACUUUACUCUUAUAGCUUGUUUGGAUGGCUGUUACCUAUUGUAUUGUUAUUUUAAAAUGGCGUCUUUGGCAUGAUGGGAAACAUAUUUUUCAUGUUGAGAUCAGUAUUUGGUUACUAUAACUCUGAAGUUCGGAACUUUUAAGGAGAGAGCCAAGAAUUUUCCUAAAAAAAGUCCGCCCAGAGAGAGAAAUGAGGCCAACAGAGGGAAGGGAUUUUCUGUUGAGGGUGGUUGCCCCUCUCUGUUGUGCCUGUGAUUUUCUGUAGGUACUAAACGUCUAAACCAACAGCCCUUGUUCAUGAAAUGCUGAGAAACAGCAUAUGCUUCUUCAGUAUACAGUUUUACUGCUGAACCUCUGUGUAUCUGUGUGUGCAUGUGUUUCUUUUUCCUCCUUCGGAAUAAUUUUACAAAAGAGGUAGUGAUGAUAAUAACGUUCACUUUCUGGGCUAACAAAAUUGGGCAUAGUGGACAAUCCCAACUCGUAUCUUGGCCUGGCAAAUCUCUUGUUGUGCAAGCAACUGGUGAUUUUGCAGCCAUGGCGUAGUUGCCUUCACUUUAUCCAAGCAAACUGCAGUAUCUGAGCCUCAAGUUUCUGAAAUCAAACUCAGGAUGUUUGGUGCUUUGAAAAAUGUGGUAUACGUGUAAAAAAAAAAAAAUGGAUCUUUUUUAUAUACCUAUGUUGUAUGUUGUUUUUGUUGCUGUUGCAUCUUAUGUUUCUCUUCUUGCGACUGUCAUGCUGCUUUAUGAACCAACAGCAACAACAACAAAAAACCUAGUAUAGACCCCACUCGGAAGGGUAGUGUGUAUGCAGACCUUACCCCUACCUUGAGGUUGUUUCUGAUAGACCCUCAUUUGCUUUUAUGAACCAAACAACAAAAGAUAAGAACAUGCUGAAUCAUGGUGGCUGUGAAGAUUUUCUUGAGCAAUUUGAGUAAGGCAUUGAGAUAAUAAGAGCCAUAUCUUGGCGGGGUAACUCGGAAAGGUUGCAGCCAUGGCGGUUUCUGAUAACACCCAAUGCUUAAUUAAAUUGGAAUCUGAGCCUCGUUAUGUACAUUGAUACGACAUAGGGACAAUACAUAAAUUACACCCAAACUUGUCCCGAAUAAUCAUUUACAUACUCUAACUUUAUGAGAAGUAGUCCAAAAUUGUCCCUUAUUGAGACGGUGAUGAUCUUUCAAUCCAUCAUCCUAAGCUAGUCAUUGAGCAUAGGGUGUACCCGACCCGUAACUUGGCGAGGCACUGACCCGGAUGUUUGUAAUUUUAUUGCAUGCAACUGGCGAUAUUUGCAGCCAUGGCGUGGCUGUACUUUCUUUGCCUAAAACAUAUAUAGAUCUGAGCCUCCAUUUUCUCCAUAAUCUUACUUUGAGUGUACUUGAUACGGAGGAAUCCAUUUCAGUCAAUCUGAGGCUGCUGGAUUCAGAGAGCUUUGGGGAGUUCUUUGAGUGGUUGCACCUCUCUGGCAUUCUCAGUAGCCAAAAAUCACUCAAAAUUUCCCCCUUUUCGGACCUCUCUUUAGGAAUAAGUUCAAAUGAGGCAGUGAAGAUUUUCUUUCUUUACUCAUCAGAUGGUUGAGCUUUGCUGUAUCUUGGCGUGGCAGCUUAAGCUUUUGCAGCCAUGGCGAGGUUUAGCUUAUGCUUGAGAGAUGGCGAAUCUGAGCUUCCAGUGGCUUCUCAUAUGAAAAAUGAGAGAAUCAAACAGUCCUUUAAAUGUUGGGAUCUUACACAAAUAACCCGUCUGAUUCACCGUUUACUUACACAAAUACACUAAUUAUAUACGGUCAUACAUGUUUUACGUGGAUUAUACAUAUUUUAUACAUCUGCCGGCUACUUUAGUUUAGGCGGUUGGGUGGAUGGCUAUUUAGGUUAAUUCUUCUUAAAUGUUUGGGUAUGGAUUCACCAAAAGGUACAAACAACAACAACAACAAACUCAGUUUGAUCCCAUAAAUGGGGUCUGGGGAGGGUAGUGAGUACGCAGACCUUACCCCUACCUCAUAGAGAUAGAGAGUCUGUUUUUGAUAGACCCUCGGCUCAAGGAGGAUUCACCAGAAGGUAAAAGUAGAAAUAUUGCUUCUUUAAAAGACUGUCUUGGCGGGGCAACCAGGAUGGCAAGUUAUCUUUGUGUCAUGCAGCCGGUGUUUGCAGCCAUGGUCAUGUCUUCGUUCUCUUGUCUUAUCAACACUUCUGAGCCUUAGUUUUACUCUUACUGCUUUAGUCAUAGAUCUCAGUGUGUUUUUUUGGGGAAUUUGCACAAAUAGCCUUUUGUGAGGCAGCGAUGAUAAUUAUGUUCACUUUCUUGGCUAACAGAAUCGGGCAUUGAGGACAAUCAGAUCCGUAUCUUGGCCUGGCAAAUCCCUUCUUGUGGAUGCAAAUGGUGAUUUGCAGCCAUGGCGUGGUUGCCUGCACUUUGGAAUAACACACAAAAGGGAAUUCACUUCCAAGAGGAAUAAUUAGGGACAUCCUCAGCAGGUUACCUGUGUGGUCUCUUCUUCGAUUCAAACGUGUUUCAAAAUAUUGGAAUACAUUAAUCUCUGAUCCUUACUUUAAGAUGAAGCAUCAGAAUGACCAAAAUCCCCAAUAUUUUCUUGUUAGCCAAAGGUGCCUUGAUAAGGUGAUAUGUAUAACUUCAAUUGUUAUUCUUUAUCGUCGAUUGAUGUACAAAAGUUUUGAUUGUCCUUUAAACUGUAAACCAAGGUGUUAUGUAAUGUUAUGUUUUGAUUGUCUCUUAAAAGAAAAAUCUCAAGGAAACAUAAUUCGCACCCUGUGAAUUUUUUUACUCAAAUGGUCCUUUAUGUUAAGGAGCUGAACUUAACUCAUGCCUACAACUCCUCAUAAAGACGAGAGAGACAGAGAGUGAGUUGAGUUCUGAGGCUGAGAUGAUACUUUCUUCUCUUCUUGGGGCAAGAGAAAUAAAGGGACUCAUAUCUUGACAGGGCAACCCGGAUGGCUACCGGUGUUUGCAGCGAUGGCAGAUGUCUUCAUUCUCUUGUCUUAUCAACAAAUCUGAGCCUCAAUUUUACUCUUAUAGCUUGUUUGGAUGGUUGUACCUAUUGUACUGUAUUGUUAUUUAAAAGGGUGUCUUUGGUAUGAUGGAAAAUAUUUUUCAUGAUGAAAUCAGUGUUUGGUUACUUAUGUAUUCAUAUGAGAAAAGAUAAGUUGGGAAAUUUUCCUAAAAUUCUUCCCAGAAAGAGAAAUGAGGUUAAUAGAGGGAAGGGAUUUUCUUCUAACAGUGGUUGCCCCUUUCUUUUGUGCCAAUGAUUUUCUUUAGCUGCUAAACCUAAGCCCUUGUUCAUGAAAUACACAGAAACAGCAGCUAUGAUCAUUGAAGCAUAUGCAUGGAUUUUCUUCAAUCUACUGCUUCAUUCAUAGAUCUCAGUCUGUAUUUUUGCAGGGAAUUUGCACAAAUAGCCUUUCAUGAGGCAGUGAUGAUAAUAUGCACUUUCUGGGCUAACAAAAUCGGGCAUCGAGGACAAUCACUCGUAUCUUGGCCUAGCAAAGCCACAGAUGGCCUGCAAUUGAGGCUCUCUCUUUUGCAUGCAACCGUUGAUUUUGCAGCCAUGGCGUGGUUCCCUUCACUUUGCCUGAUCAAAAUGCUAAAUCUGAGCCUCAAAUUGCUUUAAAAGACUGACUUUGAGAAGAGUAAUAAGCAGACACAAAAUCUCAGAGAGAAGAGAGGAGGCUUGCAGAGAGGAGUUCUUCAAAGGGUGGUUGCCCCUCUCUGCAACUUCAGUGACUCCUCAUGUGAAACAAAAAUCAAAGAACCCUUUAAGUUGGCGUUUGGACAUAAGAAUUAUGAAAUCCCGGAAAAAAGUGAAGUUCUUUUUCAAGUGAAAAUGCUCCUUUAUGUUAAGGAGUUGAACUAAGAGCCUGUUGGAUUAGCUGAAUUUAAGUAGCUUUUAAGUGGAUGAGAGAGAAUUCAGAGGCUAUGAUGAUUGUCUUCUCUUCUUUCUCUGAGCAAAAACCAACGGGGCAAGAGAUAUUAAGGAACCCGUAUCUUGGUGGGGUGACCCGGAUGGCAAGUGAUCUUUGUGUCAUGCAACCGGUGUUUGCAGCCAUGGCGAUGUCUUCAUUCUCUUGUCUUAUCAACAGAUCUGACCUCAAUUUUACUCUUAUUGCUUCUGUCAUUUAUCUCAGUGUUGCUUCUUUGCUUCUGGGGAAUUUGCACAAAUAGCCUUUUUUUGAGGGUGAAGUACACAAAUAGCCCUCAAAGUGGAUGAUCUUCAAUUUUUUUGCCCCGCUUGCCCCAUGGGCAGAACUUCAAGUUUAACAAGUGUUGCACCUCACUUACCUCAUGAGCAACAGUUUCAACUUUUGACCUUGAAGUGCCCCCAUGGGGCAAGCGGGGAUCAAAAGUUAAAGAUCACCCCAAAAGUGUCAUAUUUCCGCAAUUAUUUUGUUUUUCUUCUGAGGCAGUGAUGAUAAUAUUAUUUCACUUUCUGGGCUAUCAGAAUCGGGCAUUGAGGAAAAUAAGGGGACCUGUAUCUUGGCGGGGCAACCCGGUUGGCGAGUGAUCUCUCAUGCAACCGGUGCUUGCAGCCAUGGUGAUGUCUUCUUUCUGUUGUCAUAUUUUCAAUUCAACAUAUCUGAGCCUUAUUUUUCUCUUGUGGUGUCUUUGCUAUGAUGGAAAAUAUUUAUCAUGAUGGAUCAGUAUUUGUUUACCAAUUUAUCCAUAUGAGAAGAGAAAAGUUGGGAAAUUUUUGGGUGAAAGCCAAGAAUUUUCCAAAAUGAAGUCAGCUCAGAAAGAGAAAUGAGGUUAAGGCCUCAUUUCUUUGCACUUAAUGAGGGUCCGAAUCUGGAUGAAUCAGAUCUUAGCCCAUUAAGUAUAUUUGUUUUUUUAUUUUUAAAAAGUCUGGAUAGGUCUGGUUGGGUCUGAUUCGGCCAGACCUUUAAUUGAGUCUUAAUUCCGUUCAGAGGUUGAAAAUACACGCCUCUUUUUUGGGUGCUCCUUUUCUCUCUCUUGACAUCAGGCUAUUUCUUCUAAACCCAAAACAAAUUUCAUCCUUCACACGUCUCUCUCUUCAAGGAUCAAGCAGCCGCCGAAUCUUUUUCUGGGUAAGAUUUUGAAAAUUAUACUUGGAAUUCUCAACGCAGUAAAGUGGAUAAGGGUGGCUGCCCCUCUCUGUUUUGCCAAUGAUUUUCUUUAGCUACUAAACCAACAGCGCUUGUUCAUGAAAUACUCAGAAACAGAAGCUAUGAACCAUAGACCUCAGUGUGUGUGAGACUUCUUAACUGAAAAGCCCGUAAUCAGGCAUUGAGAUAAUCUGACCCGUAUCUUGGCCUGGCAAAUCCUCUCUUGUGCAUUCAACUGGUGAUUUUGCAGUCAUGGCGUGGUUGUCUUCUCUUUCCCUGAUCAAAAUGCAGGUUUGAGCCUCAAAUUUCUGGACAUUGAAACUGGUUACUCUUGUUCUUUGGAAUUUAUUGAUUUUGGCCCAAAUUUAGCCCAGAAAGGACGAAUGAGACAUCAGAGAGAUGGUAUUUUCAGUAAAGGGUGGUUGCCACUCUCUGCUAUGUCCAUGAUUUCUCCAUUCAUGAAACCAACAGCCCUUUGAGAAAAAAAAAGCGAAUAAAAAACCAUCUAAACAACAUCUGUUGAGUAUUUGCCCCUGUGAAGGGACUAUACUCUUCCUUUCUCUGCUUUUGCUUCUGAUUUAAACAAAUAGCUACUUUUGUUGCCUUGUACUUAGAAAGCCAUAACUGAUGUUGAUCUUCGCAGAUCACCUGAAAUGGGCUGUGAUGAUGAGUGCUUCUUUCUGUGUUAUCCACUUUACUGCGAUGAGAAAUUCCGAUCCAUAUCUUGGCGGCCCGACCCGGUAUGGCAUUCAUUUGCAAACUGGUGUCUUGCAACCAUGGCGUCUCUUUUUCUUUGCAUGUUCAUAUACAGCAAAAUCUGAGCCCUAAAGUCUAUGACAACCGUUUGAUGGUCUUCUUAGGCUUGCAGCCAUGUCAGGGUUUAGCUUAUGUCUCUGAAAAGGUUAAUCUGAGACUCCCAAGUAUCUGUUUGUGUUCAAAGAAUGAGGAUUACUAUGGAACUUGAGAAAGGUUGAGAUUUUCUAAGGGUGGUUACUCUCUUUCUCCAAAGUUCUAUUUAGCCAAUGAAUAUUUCUUUACCUUUGUUACGAAGAGACAAAUUUACAUCCCUUUCAUCGGCAAAAUGCCAAUUAUGGGAAUGACGAGGCUAAAUUAUCGCAAUAUUAAGCAGUGAAUAAGUAUUCACCAGAGGGCAAAAGUAGAAAUAUUGCUGCUUUAAAGGACUGACUUUGAGACGAACAAUAAGUAGUCACAAAAGCUCAGAGAGAAGAGAGGAGUUCUUCAAGGGUUGUUGCAACUCAGUGACUUCUCAUAUGAGAAAAAUAUCAAGCCACCCUUUAAAUCUCAGGGAAAUUGUACACAUAUUUAACCACUCGGCCAAUGUUACUCUGCUUCUUGUUUUAUGGUUUUCUAAACUCAAGAUGGUCCUUAUGUUUCGGAGUUGUACUAAAUUCAUGUGUGCAACUCCUCACCCUAAAAAAGAAGAAACUGAGGCUGUGCUGAUACUUUCUUCUCUUCUUUAUCUGAGCAAAUCAAUGAGCAAGAGAAAUACAGGGACCUGUAUCUUGGCGGGGCAAUCUGGAUGGCAAGUGAUUUUUGUCAUGCAAUUGGUGUUUGCAGCCAUGGCGAUGCCUUCAUUCUCUUAUCUUAUCGACAGAUCUGAGCCUCAGUUUUACUCUUAAUAGCUUGUUUGGAUGGUUGUUACCCAUUGUAUUAUGUUGUCAUUUUAAAUAGGUUCUUUGGCAUGUAGGAAAAUGUUUUUCUGAUUAAACCAGUGUUUGAUUACUCAUUACCGAUAUAUACCUAUGAGAAGAAGAAAGAUUGGAAUUUUCAGGUCACAAAAGAGGCAGUGAUGAUAAUAAUGUUUCACUCUGAGAAAAAUCCGGCAUUGAGACAAUCUGACCCGUAUCUUGGCCUGGCAAAUCCCCUCUUGUGCACGCAACGGGUGAUUUUGCAGCCAUGGUGUGGUUCUCUUCACUUUGUCCGAUCAAAAUUGCAAAAUGUGAGCCUCAAAUUUCUACAUCAUUUUAGACGAAAACACCUUUCCAUUUCAAGCUAAGCAGUAAACAAAUAGUAUUCAGCAGAGGGAAAAACUAGAAAGGUUGGUGCUCUAAAAGACUUAGCUUUGACACAAGCAAAUGAUAAAUAAGCCCAGAAAGAAGAAUGAGGCUAGCAGAGAGGAGUUUUUACAUGGGUGGUUGCCCCUCUCUGCAACACCCGUGACUUCUCAUAUGAAAAAAAAUCAAACAGCCUUUAAAUAUCAGGGAAAUAGUGUUGUCCAAACAUAAAACACUCGGCCAAUGAUGCUCUGCUCUUGUUUAAAUGUUUUUGGCUCAAAUUGGUCCUUAUGUUUAGGAGUUGUAAUAAAUUCAUCUCUUCACCCAAAAAAAAAAAAAGAAACUGAGGCAGUGAUGAUAGUUUCUUCCUUCUUGCUUCCUUCUUUCUCUGAGCAAAUGAAUCGGGUUGUAUCUUGUGGGGGCAACCCGGAUGGCAAGUGAUCUUUGUAUCAUGCAACCAGUGUUUGCAGCGAUGGUGAUGUCUUCAUUCUCCUUUCUUAUUAACUGAUCUGAGCCUCAACUUUACUCUUUGGGUGUUUUGGUAUGAUAGAAAACAUUUUUUAUGAUGAAAUCAUGUACUUGGUUACCAGUGUAUCCCUAUGAGGAGAGAAAAGUUGUGAAAUUUUCAGGUGAGAGCCAAGAAUUCCUAAAAGAAAUCAGCCCAGAAAGAAAUGAAGUUAAGGGUGGUUGCCCCUCUGUUUGUUCCACUGAUUUUCUUUAGCAACUAAACCAACAGCCGUUGUUUAAGAAAUGCUCAGAAACAGAAAAUGAAUCCAUAUAUCUCAGUGUGUGUGCGUGUGUGUUCUUGGGGAAUUCGCACAAAUGGCCUUUUUUUGAGGCAGUUAUGAUAAUAAUGUCACGUUCUGGGCUAACAAAAUCGGGCAUUGAGGACAAUCCGGGCCAUUUCCUUGCCUGGGAUGGCCUACAUUUGAUGCUCUCUUUUGCAUGCACUCGGUGAUUUUGCAGCGAUGGCGUGGUUGCCUUCUCUUUGUCCGUGCAAAAUGCAGUAUCCGAGCCUCAAAUUCCUAGGAAUCAAACUUGUGACCUCUUGUGCUUUGAACAGUGCUCCCGAUUUCAGCUCAAGCUAGUGAACAAAAGAAUGAGGUAUCACAGAAGGCUACUUUUGCUUCUCAGGUAUACCCGUGAUUUCAAUCCAAAAAGCACUUUCUUUUCUCAGUGAAUGUAGUUGAUAGAUAGACAUAUAAUUAAAAAAAUUAUGAUGCUGUGAUGAUAAUGAUAGUCUUUUCCCGUCUUUCUCUGAGCAACUCAAUCGAGAAGGGAUCCCUAUCUUGGUGGGGCAACCCAAAUGGCGAGUGAUUUCCUGUCAUACAACCGGUGCUUGCAGUCAUGGCGAUGUCUUCAUUCUCUUGUCAUAUUCUCAAUAUCUGAACCUCAUUUUUUCUCUUAUGGUGUCUCUGGUAUGAUGGAAAAUAUUUAUCAUGAUGUAAUCAGUAUUUCGUACCAAUGUACCCCUAUGAGAAGAGAACUUGGGAAAUUUUCAGGAGAGAGCCAAGAAUUUUCCUAUAAAAAGGUCAGCCCAGAAAGAGAGUUGAGGCUAACAGAGGGAAGGGAAUUUCUGUUAAGGGUGGUUGCCCCUCGCUGUUGUGCCAAUGAUCUUCUUUAGCUACUAAACCAACAGCACUUGUCAUGAAAACUCAGAAACAGUUUCUUCAGUCUGCAGCUUCAGCCAUAGAUCUAUGUGUGUGCUUUUUUCUGUUCCCGCCUUUUUAGUAUUGUACAGAAGAGGCAGUGAUGAUAAUCUUUUCAGGGCUAACAAAAAAUGGCAUUGAGGACAAUAUGACCCGUAUCUUGGCCUGGCAAGUCCCUGGAUGGCCUGCAUUUGAGGCUGAUUACACUCUUUUGCAUGCAACAGGUGAUUUUGCAGCCAUGGCGCUGUUGCAUUCUCUUUGUUCGGGCAAAAUUCGGUAUCUGAGCCUCAGAUUUCUGUGAAUCGAACACCUCUUGUGCUUUGAAAUGUGUAACGUUUGCUCCAAAUUUUAACUCUUGCUAAGUAUCAAACAAGUAAGGUAUCACAUAAAGAUGUGUACUUUUUCUUCUCAGAGAUUUCUAUCCAAAAGCACACAACUAUAUAGAUAGAUAUAUAGUUAGAAAAUUGCUGCUUUUUUGCAAACCCGAAUCUAAAGGAAAAUGAAAGACAUGAUGAACAAGACAUUGGACUUGUAUUCAGUGCCUUAAGUUUGCUUUAAGUUCACAUUGGCUUCUUGCUUAAUCUCUCUGUUGCUAGAAGGAAAUAAAGGUUUCUCUAACUGGUCUUUUUGAUUAGAAAUUUGUGGUUUCUUUACAUUUUCCUUAAGCAUGAAAGGCCGAGAAAGGUAUGCUUGAGAAAUUAGCAGGACCUCUCAAUGGUAAGAUGUAAAAUGGAGGUCAAAUUGGGGUGUAUAUCAUUGUUGCCGUCUUCUGCUGCUUUAUAGUUGCUAACUCCACGACCACCUGUCAACAUAGCGGUUCUGACGAAAAAUAUCUUAAGUCAGGUUUGGGAUCUAAUGAAACUGUAUCUUGGCCAGGCAAUCUAGAUGUUACUGGAAUUACAGCCACGGCAGUGACUUCCUUCUUUCUCUGAGCAAAUGAAUCAAUAAAGAAAACAAUGGGCAUAUAUCUUGGAUGGCAACCCCAAUGGCAAGUGAUUUUUUGUGUCAUGCAACCGGUGUUUGCAGCCAUGACAAUGUCUUCGUUCUAUUGUCUUAUUUUCUUCAACAGAUCUGAGUCUCAAAUUUUUUCUUGGGGUGUCAUUGGCAUACAACAACAACUGAGCCUCAAGCCCAAAAAAAUCGGGGUUGGCUACAUUAAUCCUCAAUGUCCAUGCCACGUCAUCUAAGCUCAUGUCAGUCUAAUAUAAAAUGUUUGGGACCCUAAUGGAUCGGGAAUUUUAACCUAACGUGAAUCGAACACGCAACCUUCUGAUCUGGAGUCAGACGCGCUAUAUUGCACCAUGACAAGUCAGCCUAGAGAGAGAAUUGAGGCUAACAGAGAGAAGGGAUUUUCUCCUAAGAGUGGUUGCCCCUCUCUGUUUGUGCCAAUGAUUUUCUUUAGCUGCUAAAUCAACAGCCCUUGUUCAUGAAAUACUCAGAAAGGUCACUCUGAUCAUGUAAGAACAUGCAUUAAUCUCCAUAUGUUGUCAAUCCGCAGCUUCAGCCAUAAACUUGUGUCUGUAUGUGUGUUUUUAGCACGUUUCUUUUUCCUCAUUUUGAAUAAUAGAGGCAAUGAUGAUGUUAAUUGCUGGGCUGACAAAAUCGGGCAUUGAUCCAACCCGUAUCUUGGCUUGGCAAAUGGACGGUUUUUGCAGCCAUGGCGUGGUUGCCUUCUCUUUGCCUGAUCAAAAUGCAGAUAUGAGCCUCAGAUUUCUGGGAAUCGAACCUGGGUCCUCUUGUUCUUUGAAAUAUAUUAAUGUUUGGUCCAAAUUUUAGCUCAAGCUUCAGACCAAAAGAAUGAGGUGCCAGAGGAGAUGGGUACUUUUCUUCUCUGGUAAGCCCAUGAUUUCAAAACCAAAAGCACUUCACUUUCUCAUUGACUGUGGUUGACAAUUAGAUACAUGGGUAGAAAAAUUUCCAUGUAAACGCAAAAUCAAUCUACCGACUAUGCUCAAUCCCUGGACAUAAAUGAUUGGAAAUGCCAUAGGAAGGUAUUGAACGUUCGACCUUGUGGAUAAUAGCCACACGCUUUUACCAACUGAGCUACACCAUGUGAACCCAAGUCAGAUGAGAAGAAGUUGUGUGGAGAAAAUGAUAGAUAAAUAAAUAAAUGAUGGGGCUAUGAUGAAAUUCUUCUUAGAAAAUGCAAUGAAGCAUUCAGAUAAUUUGCGCCGUAGCUUGGCAGGGCGACCUGGUUAGCGUUUAUGGUAACAUGCUGAAAGUUUGCAGCCAUCACGGUGUUGAAAGACUGAAUGAGACUUGAACAAGAUCUGAGCCUAAAAUGUAUGGAUUAUUUGGUAUUUCUGCUUGCACUUGACCCUUUGUAUUUCAAAUUGUUUCCGUGUAAUGGCGAUAGUGACUUGCUGUCUUGCUUAAACGAUCUCAUUUUUCGGUAUUUUUUGCUAGAUUUUGUCUCUGCAGUUGACUUGCUGACUAAUCUGCUGCUACAGCAGUUGAGUUGCACAAAUAGCCGAUUUUAUGACCCCUUGUAUUUAGAACAAGGUAGAAAUGACACAAGGUAGCCACUUUAAAUGCUGCUAAUAAUGGGCUAUGAUGAUUUGAUUCUUUCUUUCUGGUCUAUCCUUCACCAGCUUUGAGGUAAUCUGUCCCGUAUCUUGGCGGGGCAACCCGGUAUGGCAUCUUCUGCAAACCGGUUUUGCAGCCAUGGCAUGGUCACUAUCUCUUUGCAUGUUCAUAAAAGCAAAAUCUGAGCCCUAAAAGUUUUACGACAACCAUUUGAUGGUCUUGAAUGAUGGUCGAUCUCUGGAACUGGAAAUCCAAUUGGGUUCUUCAGUUUUUUCUUGAACACCAAUUGUCAGAUGCAGUUCUCCAUCAAUUUUUUUGCUCAAAACUGAGGAAUCGGAGAAAAAUGGGGAUUUCAGGGUGGUUGACCAUCUCCGGCAUGGCAAGGAUUUCUAUGUUGCUCCAGACGAACAUCCCUUUCUGAGUAUGCAUGCAUCUAUGUCUCUAUCUUUGUUAAUACUUGUUAAUACUGUGCUCCUGCGUGGCUGCGUCUUGAGGCAAAGAAGGUUAAUUCUUCUUCUUGCUGGGCUAUAUCUACUUUAUAUAUGCAUUGAGAAAAUCCGACCCUGUAUCUUGGCGGGGCAAUCUGUGUAUGGCAAUCAUCUGCAAACCGGUGUCUGCAGCCAUGGCGUGUGUCCCUUUCUCUUUGCAGUUUACAAAAAACAGAUGUUGUUUAUAUAUGUGUGUUUGUUUAACCAAACCCCAUACAUUUAGGACCAUUUUGUUCAUUUUCUCUCGGUUUUCUGUUACUGUUAUGCUAUGUUCCUCACAGGCUGCAUUCUAUGGCAAAGCAACAGCAGUAACAUACAACAAUGAAAUUUAAAAGGAAAAUGAUGGGGCUGUGAUGAUUGGUUGUUAUUAAGCAUAUGGAACCUGGCAUUAUAGUUUCAGGCCUGUAUCUUGGCGGGGCAACCUGUUUUUUAGGGCUUGCAGCCAUGGCAGUGUCAAAGAACUCAUUGCCUGAGAUCAAUUACUUAUCUGAGCCUCAAGUCUUUCUGAAAUGGCUGAAUACAUCGAUGGCCCCUCAAACUUGUCAAAUUUUUUCAUUUAGACAUCUGAACCAAUGGUGGUUCUAUUGACCACCUGAACUCGAGUCAAACUGUGUCUAUUAGACACAUGUUGCUGAAGUUGUCCAUACGGGCUCUUAUGGAAAAAGCUUACAUUUUCCGGAAGAGGCAGUGAUGAUAUUGCUAAUCUGGGCAUUAUAACUGAGAAUCCAACUGUAUCUUGGCGGGGUAACCCGGUAUGGCAUCAUUUGCAAACCGGUGUCUGCAGCCAUGGCCUGUGAUGCUUUUCUCUUUGCACUAGUUCAUAGAACAGCAAAAUCUGAGCCCUAAAAGUUUUACGGCAGCCAUUUGAUGGUCUUGAAUGGAUGGUCGUUCUCUGGAACCGGAAAAAUGGAGGUUCAGUCCAGUAGAAGAAUGAGGCCAACAGAGAGAAAAAAGGAAUUCUUGUGAAGGUGGUUGCCCCCGCUGCUUGGCCUAUGAUUUCUCCAUCAACCAAACCAACAACACUCGUCAGCUUUCUGAUUUCUCUGAGUUUAAACUAUCCGUUUGAUCUCAGCGUUAGUUUGUCAAAAAUUGUCUGAAUUGUCCAAACAGGCUAUAUAUGGAAAAGUUACCAUUUCUCUAGAGGUAGUGAUGAUAUUGCUAAACCUGGGAUAAUAUUCGGGGCGUGGAGACAAUUCUAUCCCUAUCUUGGCAGGGCAAGCUCGGAUGGUUUGUGAUCAAGGCUUCUCUUUUACAUGCAACUGGUUCUUUUGCAGCCAUGGCAUCGUCGUAUUCUCUUUGCCCCAUUUUUUUGUAGAUCUGAGCCUCAGUUUCCAACUAGUACAUCUGGACUUAUCUGCUUUUCAGGACUUGAACCAGGACGUCUAUAACCCAUUUGUGUUAUUCAUUUUUUCUUGUUUGUUGCAGUUCUCCAUCAGACUUUUAGCGAAUGAGGCAAUUGGAGAAAAAAGUAUUUUCGAGGUAGUUGAACACCUCCAUCAUGUCUAUGAUUUCUAUUUCCUUUAGUAAACAGCUUUUUCUGUUUAUGUGUGGGUUUGUUUAACCAACCCCUAUACAUUAAGGACCAUCUUGGUCAUUUCUCUCUGUUUUCUGUUACUGUUAUACUCUGUUCCUCAGAGGCUGCGUAUCUAUGGCAAGCAACAGCAAAAGCGUACAACAAUGAAAGGGAAAAGGAAAAUGAUGGGGCUGUGAUGAUUGAUUGUUAUUAAGCAUAUGGAACCUGGCAUUUCAAACCUGUUUCGAAAAAUGCUUUUCUUGAGCCUAGGGUCUACUGGAAACAACCUCUCUACCCCACAAAGUUAGGGGUAGGGUCUGUGUACACCCCUCCCUCCCUAGGCCCCACUUGUGAGAUCACACUGGGUAUAUUGUUGUUGUCGUUGUAACCUGGCAUUGUAGUUUCAGGCCUGUAUCUUGGCGGGGCAACCCAUAUUAUAGGUUUUUCAGCCAUGGCAGUGUCAAAGAACUCAUUGUCUACUUCGAAAAAUAAAUCCUGAACUAAUGGUGGUGUACCUCUUGAUCACCUAAAUCGAGCGAAACUGUGCCUAUUCGACACACGUUGCUCAAGUUUCCCAAGUGGGCUCUCAAUCUAUGCUCUGAUGCUACUAAUUGGUCCCUUAUUGAGGCAAUGAUGAUCUUCCAAUCUAUGCUCCUAUGCUACUAAUUGAGCAUUGAGAGUACCCGACUCGUAUCUUGGCUGGGCAAUGACCCGGAUGCUUGUGAUUUUGUGAAAAGUUGCAUGCAACUGGGGGAUAUUUGCUGCCAUGGCGUGUCAGGACUUACUUUUCCUGUGCAUAAAUACACAUCUGAGCCUCAAUUGUCACUUGUAUCUUACUUUGGGUGUAUUUGAUAUGGAGGAAAAUGUUUCAGUGAAGCACCCCUAAAGUGGCUGCCUGGUAUAAUUUCUGCAAUUAAGACCUUCGACAUGAGGCCCAUAAUUUUGGGAGGUCCAAAAGGAUUAGGGCACACUAUAAUAUCAAGCAGAAGGAAAUACGAAAAUGGCAAAAAUCUCAUUACUUCAAGUUUGAGGCUGCUGCCACUCUCUGUCAUUCUCAGCAGAAGGUGAAACUAAAAUGGUGAAAAUCUUUGAGUGGUUGUUGCCCCCCUCUGUCAUUCUUAGCAACCAAUGAUCACCCAAAUUUCCUAUUUUCGAAUCACUCUUUAGCAAUUAAGUUCAAUGAGGCAGUGAAGAUUUUGAUUCUUUGCUCAUCAGAUGGUUGAGCUUGCUAUAUCUUGGCGUCGCAUCUUUUGGGGGUUUUGUGAGUGGGAUCUAUUUUGGUUUCUGUGUUUCAGUCUUCUUAAGCUUGCAGGCUGCAGCCAUGGUGGGGUUUAACUUAUAUCUUAGAAAGCAUCUGUUUGUGUUCAACGAAUGAGGCUUUUUAUGGGACUUGAGAAAGGUUGAGAUUUUCUUAGGGUGGUCGCUCUCCUUCUCCGAAGUUCAAUUUAGCCAAUGAAUUUUCCUAUGUUUGUUACAAAGAGAAAGAUUAACAGCCCUUUCAUCAGCAAAAUGCCAAUUAUGGUGAUGAUGCUGAUGCUGAUAGCCAUAGUUAUGGUAGUAAUAAGGAAAAGGCCAAAUUCAUGGAUAGUCCUUAAAAGUUCGCUCGAUUUGCCAGUUAUUUUGUCACUUAAACUUGUCCCUAGAAAUCCUUUUGUACUUGGAUCAACAACAACAACAACAACAACAACUCAGUAGAAUCCUAAACCGUAAACUUUGCGAAUGAGGCUAUGAUGAUAUUCUCCAGGAAGCUUGAAAGUCUUGACAGUCAGAUCAUUUAGCUGAUUUGUAUCUUGGCUACGAAAAGGCAGGUUAAUUUGUGAGGUGGAUUGCUAUGUGCUCUCUCAGAAGGUGUCUGCUUCUUGCAGCCAUGGCGGAUUAGCCCAUUCUUCUGAUAGAUUUUAAGGCAAAUCUGAGCCACUUUUCUGUGUUCAGUUUAGUUUUAGGAUGUGAUGCUUUUUUUCUUUCACAUUUACUACCAAAAUUCCCAAACAUUUCUGGUUAGCCUAUGGUACCUUUCUGAGGAUGAGUUUUCCUUGUAUUGUUCUUCUUUAUCGUCAGUUCAAUUGGUUGAGGAUGUACAAAAGCUUAAUUGGCCUUCAAAGGGUAAACCAUGGAGUUGCAGAAUCUACUGUUAUUGCGAUGGCUUGUUUCUUGUUGGGGUUCGUAAUCCUGAUAAACACCUCAUAUGGACUCUUUGGCAUUAGUACAUGGAGCAUUUCAUUGUCUUUGCUUUGUCACUAAAUAAUUUUGUGGUUUUAGUAUUUCAAAUGAGGUGUACGGAGAGAUACUGUUGCCAGAGGGAUUGUGCUUGAUUUUAAACGUGGCGUACAUAAAAAAUGACGUUUCAGUAUUGGGAGGAAUGCUUUGUGGUUAUUCUACUUAUGACCAUCAGGGGAAGGACACUUUCAAGUUAUGAGUAAUGAAAGACUAUGGUGUCAAGAAAUCUUGGAAUAAUUUGUUUAAUAUACAAGGUACCGAGGAGGCUGUGAUGAUAUUGUUGAAAUGGGUUGAUAUUCAGGGCAUGGAGAACAUCAGACCCGUAUCUUGGCAGGGCAAACCCGAAUAGUUUGUGAUUGAGGCCUUCUCUGUCACAUGCAACCGGUUCUUUUGCAGCCAUGGCGUAGUCGCCUUCUCUUUGCUCCAUUUUGAGCGGAUCUAAGCCUCAAUUGUCUCUUAUAUCUUACUUUGGGUGUAUUUGAUAUGGAGGAAAUUGUUUCACUGAAGCAGCCCUAAAAGUGGCUACCUGGUGUCAUUUCUACAAAUAAGACCUUUCACACGAGGCCUAUAAUUUUGGGAGGUCAAAAAAAUUAGGGCACUAUAGUAUGAAGCAGAAGGUGAAAUGAAAACGGCAAAAAACCCAUUAGUUUAAGUUUGUGGUUGCUGGAUUUUGAUAGUUGUGGCGAGUUGUUCGUGUGGUUGCCCCUCCAUUUCAUUCUUAGCAGCCAAUGAUCACCCAAUGUUUCCCAAUUUCAAACUAUUCUUUAGCAUAUUAAGUUCACUGAGGCAGUGAAGAUUUGUAUUCUUUACUCAUCAUUUGGUUAUCGGAGCUAUCUAGGUUUCUGUAUCUCGCGAAUGCUUGUUAAGUCUGCAGCCAUGGCGGGGUUUAGCUUAUGUAUGAGAAAAGGCAAAUCUGAGCCUCCCACAUAGCUGUUUCUGUUUAAAAAAAUGAGGUUUCUUAAGGAACUCGGAGAAUGGUUGAGAUUUUCCAAGGGUGGUUACUCCCUUUCUCUGAAGUUCAAUGUUGCCAAUGAAUUUUCCUGUACUUCUCUUACCAAGCGAAAGACUAACAGCCCUUUCAUCAGAAAAAUGCCAGAUAUGUUCUAUAAGAUGGGAAAAUAUAUAUUUUGCCCCCUAAACUAGUAUCAAAAACCCGAAUCCUAAACCCUAAACUUUGUGAAUGAGGCUAUGAUGAUAUUCUCCAGGACGCUUGCAGGUCAGACUUUUGAGCUGAUUCGUAUCUUGGCUAGGUAAAGGCAAGGGAAUUUGUGAGGUGGGUUCUUAUGUGCUCUCACACAAAGGUCUCUGCUCUUUGCAGCCAUGGUGGAUUAGCCUUUUUCUGAUAGAUCAAAUCUGAGCCUCUUUUUCUUUGUUAAGUUUAGUGCUACUAUGGGUCUGUUUCUCUUGUUCUUUAAUUAUUUUUAUGUUAACGUUGUAGAAUAUUGGUCUGAGAUGAUCUUUUUCCUGCUUUUGCAUAAUAUCAGGAAGAAUCACAGUUCAAAAGAAAACUGUUAUGUGUUUAUCUACAUAUUUUCCAUUAGUAAAUUAUUAGGUAGUGAUAUGAAACAAGUCCAAAGGGAAUAGAAGUGAAUAUUGAGGAUUCAUAUAUUGUUUUUAACCAGUUUGAUAUUGAAGCUAAUUGCUGAAGUUAUCUUCACAAUUUUCCAAACUUUCAGGCCUUAUUUACAACAACAACAGCCCAGUGUGGUCCCACAAGUGGGGUCUGGGGAGGGUAGUAUGUACGCACCCUUACCCCUACCCUGGAAGGGCAGAGAGACUGUUUCCGAUAGACCCUCGGCUAAAGAAGGUGAGAGAAGACCCAGUGUGGCCUUAUUUCUAUCUUUGAAAUUCCAAGUUUUCAGAGGCAAUGAAGAUCAUUCAUAUAAUGAAAAGGAAAAGUGGAAAAGAUAAGAGUUGAUUCCUUGCCUGGCUUGGCAAGACCGGUCUUUCCUAUAAGGCAACCGAUGAUUGCAGCCAUGGCAGUGUUCACUCUGUUAUUUCCUUUGGUUAAAUAGGCAGAAAUCUGGGGCUUAUCCUCAACUUGGUUUAUUCACAUUUUCUUUUUUUGACAAGUCUUUCUGGAACUAUUCUAGACUAGAAGUAUUUUCGUGGUUCUUUUUGUUCUAUUAUUUGGAAUUCAGGUUCUCCGCUAUUCUGACUGGUUACUGGUUUAUUACAGAUUGGAGAGAGUUAUGGUAUCUCCAACAUCCCAGGAUCAUCUGUCUUCAUACAUAGCCAAAUUCUAACUUGUUCCGUGCUUUGAACAAGUUUUAAGCUAAUUCUCCUUAUUUCAAUCUUAAAAAUCCCAAGUUUCAGAAGCAGUGAAGAUUAUGUAUAAUGAAAACGAAAAGUGAAAAAUGUUUAAUUCAUGGCCUGGCUUGGCGACCAGUUGGUUUGGUUACAUUUUCUUUUUUGACAAGUCUUUCUGGAAAUAAUUCUAGACUAGAAAUAUUGUUGUGGUUCUUUUUGGUCUAUUAUUUUAUCUUCAGGUUCUCCUUUACCCUGAUUCCUGACUGGUUACUGGUUUGUUACAGAUUAGAGGUAGUUAUGGUAUCUCCGAUUUACCAGGAUAAUUUGACUUUGUGAGAGCUAAAUUCCAACUCGUUCAGUGCUUUGAACAAGUUCUAAGCUAAUUCACGUUAGUUCUCUUGCUCUCUUCGAUGAGUACAUGCUGCAGUUCAAGAGAGGCCUGAUCGCCAACACCUGCGGGGAAUGAAGAAAACCGGUCAGUUUAAGAACUAAACUUAUCUAGCAGCUGGUUGACUUGUCUAAAAUUGAAUUCUGACUCCAUAGAGUGAAACUUCAAGCAGUUCUCUUAUAUAUAGGAACUAAGAUUUUGUUGGUGAUCUCUUGUGCAUAAUUGAAACUGAGGUGUAGAUUCAGCAUAGAACUGACCUUUCUAAGAUUCUUGAAAUCAUUUCCGAUACAUUUGAGCAGAAGAUUGAUGUUCAUUAGAAUUCUUAAAAGAUCAAGUAUUGUGUGCCUUUAGAUCCUGUCUUUUCUUUCUUUUUUUCUUAUUCUUUUUAUAUUAUUAAUCAAAGAUAAUGCACUUGUUCAAGUGUGCUUCAUUGUUACU